rnacentral:lncRNA from 1 species
AUUGUCAAUAGCCAUGUCUUGUUCCGCUUUGAAUUCCUCUUCAAUUUCCACUUUAGAUUCAGAUUUAGAUUCGGAACUAGAACUAGGUGGAUUGGGUUAUGGCUGCUUCCUCUUCUUUCUCAAUGUUCGUUCAAAAUUGUCGUCAAACUCCAAUAUGUGUGCACGAACAGGUUGAGAACUUCAAGUCAUAAACUAGUACCUAGAACAAAGAAAACAAAACAAAACCAAAUCAAAAACACAAACUAAACAAAAAUAGAAACAAAGGGAAGAUUAGCAAUUUUGCUAAUCCCCGGCAACGGCGCCAAAAUUUGAUGUGAAAUUUAACUAGCACACAAAUUAAACCCUAUUAAGAUAGUUGUAGUAUGGAUAAGUAGGGAUCGUUCUAGGCCGGGGAUUAACUAGGGCUGCUAAUCUACACAAAUAUGACUCAAAAAACACAAAACGAGACUUAAAAACACUUAACUAGACUCUAAAAAACUCAAAACACACUAAGCAGACUCAAAACAGCACAAUAUUAGCAAUUAGACUCAAAACAGACUCUACGGAGUUAUUUGGACGAAUAUAAGACUAGUAAGACUCAAAACACUUAAAAACACAAGUUCGGAUAGAUUCUAACUAAUUUGACACAAUAAAGUAAAGGGGAUUGGGUUUUUUGACGAAUUUAAAGUAAAAACAAGUAGAUUUAAGACUCUAAGAAAUUUGAAACGAGAUUGGUGAAUUGAAUGGGUGAAUGGCUAGUUAGAGAGUCCUUCUCCACACAUGACACAUGCAUACGAAUUGAUUUCCAGUUAUUCUUUCGAUAAAACAUGAAUGACAAUGCCCCAAAUUAAUCGUGAGAAGCACAAAUUAACUUUCAGAUUUUCCUACAUUCAUUGAAUUGGACUCAGCGACACAACCAAAUUAUUCUUAUCAAGUACCCUAAAUGAACUGCUUAAUAUAGAUACAUAUCAAAGAUCAUUAAGUUCUAUGAAAAUCAUAAGCAUUGACGAGGCAUUCGUAACUAUGAAUUGCAUGAUACUCCUACCAAGAAUUCACUUAACAUAAUCAUGACUAGUGACUUUUACUACUUAUGAUAUAAGUUCAUAACAAUUAGGUGAAAUUCCCUUAUAUCCUAGCAUCAAAUCCUUGCAUGCAAACUAAGUAUGCAUCCUUAAUUAACACACAAGAAUAAGUUAUCAAUCAAACAGAUAAGUGAAUUGCAUUCACGAUUUAUGAAAUCAUAACUGGAUGUAAUCAAUUCAUAUCACAUAUAUGUUCAUGGCUUUGAAUUCUCCUCUAACUACAACGAGUUUAGUUCCACAUAUUUGCAAUUAAACAAAGACAAUUAAAUUUAAACAUUGAAACAAAAGGUAGAAAGCACCUAUGAAUGCUCCAACAAUCCAAAGGUCUUGAAUGGCAAGCACAGCUCCAGGGGUCUCCUUUCCUUUCUCCUUGCAAAGCUGCCGCACUAGAGGGAUGUAUGUAUAUGAGGGAUGUAUGGCAUGAAAUUGUGAUGGAAGAUGGGUGAUUUCUGAGUGCUGCGGCACAAUAUAUUUAUAGGGAGAAUAUAAGGCAUGGCAAGGUUAUGUAGGAGGGGAAUUACGACUCCAAAUCAUCAAGGAAUAAGGACUUUUCAAUUUCAGAUUCCAGGGAGGAAAAGGAUUGGUCUUUGCUACAGGA